CUGUAGCCAAUUAAGCUGACCAGGUUCUUAAUCUCAUAGAGGCCUUGUGUGCAGUGGCUGCAAACAGAAGCCUCCUUAGUGUGUUCAGCCUAUCACUUACAUAGGUGCCCUGAAGACGUUUAUUUGUGGACAUUC
ensembl:snoRNA SNORA70 Small nucleolar RNA SNORA70